UACGAAGGGGGCUAGCGUUGCUCGGAAUCACUGGGCGUAAAGGGUGCGUAGGCGGGUCUUUAAGUCAGGGGUGAAAUCCUGGAGCUCAACUCCAGAACUGCCUUUGAUACUGAAGAUCUUGAGUUCGGGAGAGGUGAGUGGAACUGCGAGUGUAGAGGUGAAAUUCGUAGAUAUUCGCAAGAACACCAGUGGCGAAGGCGGCUCACUGGCCCGAUACUGACGCUGAGGCACGAAAGCGUGGGGAGCAAACGGGG
rnacentral:rRNA from 1 species